CCCCAUUACAACAGUACAAGCACCUGUGAUUCUAACAGGGCCGAUUUAAGCUGAUAGGAUCUCAGAUUAAUUAUACAGACAAUCUUCAAUUCCAAUAAGAAGUUGCAGGAAGAUAACGCAGUUUCUAACUAACAUCAUUGAUCCAACAACAGUGUACAUGAGCCAAUGAAAUGUUUAAACAAUAAGAAAUCCAAAAAGCAAUAAUGCAGGCAGAACGGAAAGUACACACACACACACUCCCCCAGAAAGAAACAAUCUUCAGUUUUGUAGCAGCAAGAAAUUAUUCAAAAAAUUUUGU
rnacentral:misc_RNA from 1 species